rnacentral:rRNA from 1 species
CUUGGUGACUCUAGCGCGGGGGUCCCACCUCUUCCCAUUCCGAACAGAGCCGUUAAGCCCCGUAGCGCCGAUGGUACUGCCUCAAGGUGGGAGAGUAGGUCGUCGCCAAGU